AUUGAACGCUGGCGGCAUGCCUUACACAUGCAAGUCGAACGGUAACGGGCCUUCGGGUGCCGACGAGUGGCGAACGGGUGAGUAACAUAUCGGAACGUACCUUUCAGUGGGGGAUAACGUAGCGAAAGUUACGCUAAUACCGCAUAUUCUGUGCGCAGGAAAGCAGGGGACCUUCGGGCCUUGCGCUGAUUGAGCGGCCGAUAUCAGAUUAGCUAGUUGGUGAGGUAAAGGCUCACCAAGGCGACGAUCUGUAGCGGGUCUGAGAGGAUGAUCCGCCACACUGGAACUGAGACACGGUCCAGACUCCUACGGGAGGCAGCAGUGGGGAAUUUUGGACAAUGGGGGCAACCCUGAUCCAGCCAUGCCGCGUGAGUGAAGAAGGCCUUCGGGUUGUAAAGCUCUUUCGGCCGGGAAGAAAUCGUAUCAGCUAAUACCUGGUGCGGAUGACGGUACCGGCAUAAGAAGCACCGGCUAACUACGUGCCAGCCGCCGCCGUAAAAC
rnacentral:rRNA from 1 species